UGUCCUCCUCAUCCUCAUCAUCAGAGAUUUCCUUCUCAGUGGUCUUCUCAACCCAUAGGGAGAUGGGGUAGCUAAUGAACUCGGAGUGCUUCUUGAUCAGAUCCUUAAGACGGCGCUCCUCAAGGUAUUCCAACUGCAACCCCAACAAACAGACAUAAAUAUUAGGCUGAAUUGUUCUAUAACACUUCUUUAGAUUGGCCACCACGUGACACAUGGCAGUGCAAAAGGCAGAAUUCUAUUGGUCAGCAUAUUAAGACGAAAGGAAACAAAUGGCCCAUCAGUACACAAGUAUGAUAAACUUAAUACUAAAGAAUAAUUACCAUGAUCAAUAAUUCUUUGGUAUAUGAGGAAAAUGGGAUCAAAGAGUCAUGCCCUGGAAUUUCAGAUUCAAAGGUGGGGGCAAAACAAAUUACUGAAUUUCGCAGAAAGUAACUCUAGCAUUACAGAAAGGAAAAAAUACGAAGGAUGCUUUUACAGCUUCCAAUAGAAAUAAACUCCAAUUGAUUGCAUACCUUUUACUACAAAUAUGAGUCAAAUGACUAGUUUUAUAGCAUUUGGGCAUACCAUUUUAACAUUCCUUGUUAAUAGAAUUUUCUUGAAUUCUUUCAACCCAACCAUUAAAUGACCCAAUUUUCAUCCUACAAUAAUACGCUAAAAAUGUUUGAACAACUCAAUAAAAGUAAAACUUCCUCGUUUAAGUCUAGAAGGAUUAACUAAAAUUCUAAAUAGUGAAAUAGGAACUGAAAUCUUAAACAGAUAAUCAGAAGGUUAAGAAGAUAAUCAGAAGGUUAAGACCAAACAAAGCACACAAGAAGGCUAACUAUUGUGAUCGACACAUUAGUAACCAAGUGAAAGUUGUAGGCCUUACUAUUUCCAAGUAAAAAUUACAAGCAAGAUUAAUCAAUGAAUUAAAAAAAAUGUCAAUAUGAGAAAGAUCAACUAAGCCUCAAGAAUUGUCAAAGAAUAAGAGAUGGCAACUAAAGAAAACUUAGGACAUGUCCUCUGAAUUUCUACCAAGAAUAUUAUCAGAUAACCAAUCAAAGACGAUUGAAAACACACAAUUGAGGCCACCAAAUACACAAGAAAAUGACGCAAGAAACGCAUCAACUUAUGAUGCAUCAGAAUGUAAAAUGUAUAUAUACUAUCAAUAGGCACUACUUUAGAAAUGCUUUAUCGAGACACAUCAAAUAUAAUGCUCUAGAGGACCAUAAAAAUCCUAAAAGCUUUAGAGCUUCCCCUCCCCUAAUUCUUUAAAAUUAAAAUAAAUCAGCCUGAAAGUGCUGUUGGAUUUUCAAGCCCCCUAAAUAUGUGUGGUCAAUGCAAUCACAAACUAGGCCUAAAUAUAUUUAAAUUGUAAAAUGGUGAAAGCACAAUAAAAGGAAUAUAUUGCAAAGUCUACACAAUCAGUGAUCAUAAUUUUGAGAUAAUCCCUCUUGAGAUGGCAACAUUCCAAUAUUUAAAUAAUUAUGAACGCAUACAACAUGCAAUUGACUAGCAGGAGAAAAAAACAGGGGGGCAAAUAUACAAAGAGACCCCAUAGGCAUGCAAUAAUUAAAUAGUAACUCAAGAGUUCUAUAUGUGAAUUAUAAAAUAUUUAGGAAAGUGCACCUGCUAUUUGCUAACAACACAACCAACAAAGCUAGCAAGUCAAAAACUAAAAAGUAAAAGUAACUUGCGUAUCGCUAAUUAUAUGCUAUCAUUAUCUAAGAAGUUCGAAAAAGGAAAAUCAAAAUCACAAAUGCAGGACCAUCUUCAACUCAUACAAAAAUACUAGCCUAAUAACAAGUCAGCAACCUAUGUGAAAAAAGGAUACAAAAUAAAAAAUGAUGCAUCACCAAAUAAGAACAUGAACUACAUGCCCAAAGUGGCAAGGAGAUAUACUAUAUCUCCAAUCUAGACUUUUCCCAUUAACUAUGCCACAUGGUAGCUUUGACGACAAUGUAAGGUCUAAUGCCACACAACAAUAAGAUGCAAAACACAGCACAUCAGCUCAUCAAAACAUCAUGUGUAAAUUCUCUAUUUAACACCAGAAAUCACAAGAUCCUUAGAUCAAGGAACACCAUUCUAUGAAAAUAUAAUUAAGCAGGACAUGAACUAACAAAUCAACUUGAACAAAAGCCAGAUGAGUAACUUAACAAAUCAACUAGAACAAACGCCAGACUAGUAACUAAAUAGGAACGAAGAGAGCAAUAACUCAAAGUCCCAGUGAUAAACAACUGCUGCAUUAACAGAAAUAAGAGAGCUUACAACGAACAAUUCAUCAACCACAGGAAAGCUAUAACACAAAAUCACUCAUAAAAUCAAACCAAAACUAAAUUAGGGUUUUACUGCUAUACCUGAUCUUCCUUGAGGAAGAGGGUGAUCUUGGUUCCCCUCCCAAGGUUCUCUCCCGAGGUAUCCCUAGUAACAGUGAAGGAUCCUCCGGCCUGCGACUCCCACACGUACUGCUCAUCAUCAUUGUGCUUGGCGGUCACG
rnacentral:lncRNA from 1 species